rnacentral:rRNA from 1 species
GAGGAAAAGAAACUAACAAGGAUUCCCCUAGUAGCGGCGAGCGAAGCGGGAAGAGCUCAAAUUUAUAAUCUGGCACCUUCGGUGUCCGAGUUGUAAUCUCUAGAAAUGUUUUCCGCGUUGGACCGCACACAAGUCUGUUGGAAUACAGCGGCAUAGUGGUGAGACCCCCGUAUAUGGUGCGGACGCCCAGCGCUUUGUGAUACAUUUUCGAAGAGUCGAGUUGUUUGGGAAUGCAGCUCAAAUUGGGUGGUAAAUUCCAUCUAAAGCUAAAUAUUGGCGAGAGACCGAUAGCGAACAAGUACCGUGAGGGAAAGAUGAAAAGCACUUUGGAAAGAGAGUUAACAGUACGUGAAAUUGUUGGAAGGGAAACGCUUGAAGUCAGACUUGCUUGCCGAGCAAUCGGUUUGCAGGCCAGCAUCAGUUUUCCGGGAUGGAUAAUGGUAGAGAGAAGGUAGCAGUUUCGGCUGUGUUAUAGCUCUCUGCUGGAUACAUCUUGGGGGACUGAGGAACGCAGUGUGCCUUUGGCGGGGGUUUCGACCUCUUCACACUUAGGAUGCUGGUGGAAUGGCUUUAAACGACCCGUC